rnacentral:rRNA from 1 species
UACAGAGAUCUCAAGCGUUGUUCGGAUUCAUUGGGCGUAAAGGGUGUGUAGGUGGCGCCGUAAGUCGGGUGUGAAAUUUCGGAGCUUAACUCCGAAACUGCAUUCGAUACUGCGGUGCUUGAGGACUGGAGAGGAGACUGGAAUUCAUGGUGUAGCAGUGAAAUGCGUAGAGAUCAUGAGGAAGACCAGUGGCGAAGGCGGCUCACUGGCCCGGUACUGACGCUGAGGUGCGAAAGCGUGGGGAGCAAACAGG